AUUGAACGCUGGCGGCAUGCUUUACACAUGCAAGUCGAACGGUAACAGGCCUUCGGGUUCUGACGAGUGGCGAACGGGUGAGUAAUGCAUCGGAACGUGCCCAGAGGUGGGGGAUAACGCAGCGAAAGCUGUGCUAAUACCGCAUGUGAUCUGAGGAUGAAAGCGGGGGACCAAGCAGCAAUGUUUGGCCUCGCGCCUCUGGAGCGGCCGAUGUCAGAUUAGGUAGUUGGUGGGGUAAAGGCCUACCAAGCCGACGAUCUGUAGCUGGUCUGAGAGGACGACCAGCCACACUGGGACUGAGACACGGCCCAGACUCCUACGGGAGGCAGCAGUGGGGAAUUUUGGACAAUGGGCGCAAGCCUGAUCCAGCAAUGCCGCGUGCGGGAAGAAGGCCUUCGGGUUGUAAACCGCUUUUGUACGGAACGAAAAGGCUCUGGCUAAUACCUGGGGCUGAUGACGGUACCGUAAGAAUAAGCACCGGCUAACUACGUG
rnacentral:rRNA from 1 species